GGCCGAAAUUUUUUAAGCAUUAGCCUUUUAAGCUACAUAUAGUAAUAACUUUCAAUAU
rnacentral:tRNA from 1 species